CCGGCACGGGUGAGUAACACGUAUGCAAUCCACCUGUAACAGGGGAGUAACCCGGAGAAAUCCGGACUAAUACCCCAUAAUAUGGGCGCUCCGCAUGGAGAGCCCAUUAAAGAGAGCAAUUUUGGUUACAGACGAGCAUGCGCUCCAUUAGCCAGUUGGCGGGGUAACGGCCCACCAAGCGACGAUGGAUAGGGGUUCUGAGAGGAAGGUCCCCCACAUUGGAACUGAGACACGGUCCAA
rnacentral:rRNA from 1 species